CAAGACCUUGCGCUUUUGGAGCGGCCGAUGUCUGAUUAGCUAGUUGGUGAGGUAAAGGCUUACCAAGGCUUCGAUCAGUAGCUGGUCUGAGAGGACGACCAGCCACACUGGGACUGAGACACGGCCCAGACUCCUACGGGAGGCAGCAGUGGGGAAUUUUGGACAAUGGGGGCAACCCUGAUCCAGCCAUGCCGCGUGAGUGAAGAAGGCCUUCGGGUUGUAAAGCUCUUUCAGCCGGAACGAAAAGGUCACGGCUAAUACCCGUGACAAAUGACGGUACCGGAAGAAGAAGCACCGGCUAACUACGUGCCAGCAGCCGCGGUAAUACGUAGGGUGCAAGCGUUAAUCGGAAUUACUGGGCGUAAAGCGUGCGCAGGCGGUUUUGUAAGUCAGAUGUGAAAUCCCCGGGCUUAACCUGGGAACU
rnacentral:rRNA from 1 species